AAAAUCUAAAAAAUUUUAAAAAUAAUUACAGGUCACUAGUAGAGCCGGAACCAGUUAGUCCACAAUUAUCUUGAUUUUUUGUUUAUUUUCUUAUACUGUCCUACUUGCUUUAUUUUCAUAUAGUACAUGUUCUUAAUUUAUAGUUCAAGAGUCUUAUCAACUUAUCUAAUUAUUUUAGUUAUGUACCGUCAGCAUGAAUGUAGGUUAAUUGAUAUGUGAAUAUGAUAUAAGAUAUUAGUAUGUAUUUGUUGGUUGUUUGUUGAUAAA
rnacentral:lncRNA from 1 species